rnacentral:rRNA from 1 species
UACGGAGGGGGGCUAGCGUUGUUCGGAAUUACUGGGCGUAAAGCGCACGUAGGCGGCGAUUUAAGUCAGAGGUGAAAGCCCGGGGCUCAACCCCGGAACUGCCUUUGAGACUGGAUUGCUAGAAUCUUGGAGAGGCGAGUGGAAUUCCGAGUGUAGAGGUGAAAUUCGUAGAUAUUCGGAAGAACACCAGUGGCGAAGGCGGCUCGCUGGACAAGUAUUGACGCUGAGGUGCGAAAGCGUGGGGGAGCGAACAGG